UGGAGGACUGGGCUCAUAACAAUGGUGGGGAUGAUGAAUGGAACAUGGGGUUCAGAUGUGGAAACCUGAAUAUAGUAGUCUUGUCCUAGGGUUGUGGCUAUCUCUGAACUUCCUCCACACCCCACUCAUGGAACAUCCCAGGAAGCAAAGACCAGACCCAUUCAACUUGUCUUCCUUGAAGCCAGCCCACUGAGACCUACAAAACAUUCAAAGUAUUUUUAAUGGAGAGAGGAAAGAGACAGAGAUCCUGGGGAUGGAGCCAGACCAAGAUGUAGUUGGUUUGUGUGGCCACAGCUGGAGACAUCAGCAGUGUAAGACUCACCUCAGCAACUUUUGGGAUUUGGAGAAAGAUGAAAGAUUGCUAAAACUAAGUGUUUAAUAACUCCUUUCAGGGCUGCCAAAAGGAAAGAAGAUCAUCUGCCCCAAAACAGCAAAAGUGGAACCAGCAAUUUUUUCAUAGGCCUCUCAAUAAGUGUGGUUCUGGGAAUAAGAAGGAAACAGUACCAUU